UACGAAGGGGGCUAGCGUUGUUCGGAAUUACUGGGCGUAAAGCGUAUGCAGGCGGAUCGUUAAGUCGGGGGUGAAAUCCCGAGGCUCAACCUCGGAACUGCCUUCGAUACUGGCGAUCUUCGAGUCCGGGAGAGGUGAGUGGAACUCCGAGUGUAGAGGUGAAAUUCGUAGAUAUUCGGAAGAACACCAGUGGCGAAGGCGGCUCACUGGCCCGGUACUGACGCUGAGGUGCGAAAGCGUGGGGAGCAAACAGG
rnacentral:rRNA from 1 species